CAAUAUAUGUACUCAUCAUUAAUAAAAUAAAAUUGAAAUAUGUAGACUAUACUUUUGUUUGACAUGUAAUUGUGCAAUUGAGAAAUGAAAAAUACUAAGCCUCGCCGCGGUGGUGAUGAUUGCGAGCAUUGGGCAGAAGCAUCAUUUUCACUAAGGAAAUUAAAAGAAAAAAAGAUGGAUAUACAUGCUAAGAAGCUAAGAGGAUAUAAUAUUUAAUAUACAUACAAAAUAAUAAAUUAACUUUUAUAUACAUAAUGUAAUUAUGGGCGAAUGAGGUUCAGCGGAAUCUCGUUCCGUCCACCUAACUUUGCCUUCUGCUAC
rnacentral:lncRNA from 1 species